UCCUCCUUAGCUCAGUUGGUUAGAGCACCUGACUGUUAAUCAGGGUGUCCUUGGUUCGAGUCCAAGAGGAGGAG
rnacentral:tRNA from 2 species